AAACUGCUCCACAUGAGUACCUGAGCCAAGACUAAAGGCAAACGUCGCUCACAACACUCAUCAGCAUGUUUGUACAACAGCAGUACAGACAGAACGAGUCUACAGGACACAGCUGCUGCACUUCCUCCCAGGUCAGUCACAGUUCCCCCUGCUCUGAGAACAUCCUGCUUGGCACUACAGAGCAGGAACACUGCAAACCAAAGACAGCUGCAAUGAUGUGCCACAAAUAAAUAUUCUGAUGUUCACCACUCCUGGUCUUUAGGAGGUUUUUAGUUUAACUCAGCUCUGACACCACACAUUCCUACAGAAUCCAGAGCACAACCUGCCAAUAACUGUAGAGGCCAUGCUUACAAGGUUUGUUUCUGACAGCAUGAGUAGCAAAAUCUAUCUACAUUUAAGAAUGCAGAAAGAAACCUUAAAUCUUAAGAAAAUUAAAGUCAAAAUAUCACAGCUCAGGUUUUCAUCCUACAAGGCAAUAAGCACAUAUUUGAGUCAGUUAUGUGCUUGGACUCAUGAAAAAAUCUGCUGAGCUUAUUUGCUUAAGUAAGAGCUAUGGAAUUUUAUCUCUAAAUGCUUAAAUUUCAUUUUUAAAAGCGUCAGUGUCUACUAAUAAGACGAAGUGUAUGCUUUUUACUUGAGUUUGAGGAUAGAUAAACUGAUUAAAAGCUUUGAACACAUUCUUCCAUAAAUAAAAAUAUACAUCAGAAGGUAUAGUCUUUGCUAAAGGUUUUCAAAUUUUUAAUGACUUUAUGUAUUGUAGUAUUCUGAUUUAAAGUUCUGGCUCUAAAAAAAACCACAGAAAUGGCACUUUAAAAAACAGAUUAGUUUUGAAUUGUCCUUCACUGUCACACAUUUUUCUAGAGGCUAUACAACAGAAGUAUGUAGCUUUGGUGAUAAAAAUAUGUCUCCCCUAAAGGAACAGUGAUGAAAAUUUUAUAUUUUACAGUACAGUGCUAAAUGCUUACAAAAGCUACACUGGUUAUCUCCCAGAAAAAAAAGAGAUGCAAAAAAGUCAAAGCUGUAAAUUAAGUGAGAAACAUCCGCCAUGAAAACAUUAAAUGGAAAAUAAACAUUAAGAAUUCAGUCCACUUUACAACAAUUUUCUAGUAGCUUAGUGACUUACAACAGCAGCAUAAUUCUGUACAGACUCUACAACCACUCCCAAAAACAUUUUCAUAGCUCAGAAUAUUAAAGGUAAGUAAAAAGCUGGUUUUAUCGAAGUAUAAAUCCAACAAAGGUCUAAACACACUCAACUCUGUAUUGAAAUAAACUUGAUUCAAAAUGAAAAUUUCUCAAAUGUUUAGAUUUAUUAAUGGCUACAUAAUGGACUUUAUUCUGUGCCGUCAGACGUAUCAGAUUUAUCAGAUUUCAAAAAAACACCAAGUGAGUUCAUCACUUGUUACUGGAAACACAUGGAAAAUGAGAUGUAACAAACACUGACAUAUGGAAUGCUUCUGAGGUUAAAUGUCAAUACAUUUUAUUUUACUAAUCACUGACUUUAAAGUUAGCCCAAUUAGGUUAUAGAUGAAAAAUUCACUUAGACAUACCAGCAGUCUCUAUGCUUUCUCCAACGUAUUACUAAUGUACUGCUUAGGGUUUUGUCAUUAUUCAUCUAUUUGUUUUGAAACAUAGCAAAUUAAUAUUAAGUCAUUUGCUACAUUACUUAGCUCACUCAAAAUCAAAAUUAGGGCAGAACUCUGAAUGUCAGAAAUAAUAUUAACUUAAAUUCCAGUUACUGCAGGUUUCUUGGAAAUAAACCAUACAAAGAAACCUCCCACCAAAACCCCCCAAACCAAUUCUCUUUCAAUGGGAUGCUGAAAUGUGACCCACUGCAACCAACUUUUAAAUCACAACUAAAAGGAUUAGCUUAGGACAAUAUUAAUUCUCUCAGUUCCAAGGUCCAUUUGGUAAUUCCAGUGAAGAUAUGAGUUUUUACUUAUCAGACACAUGGAGACUUUCUAUGAAGCAUUAGCUACAUGUGUCAUUGGAGCACGAUGAGACUGUGAGGAACACGUUUGAUGACAUCAAGCAGAAAAGAUUACAGACUUCAAGAGUAAUUUCAAGGCAUGAAGCUAUCACUAAAAGAUUUUCAUUAAAUCCCUCCCUGUCAAAGAAAGAUUCUGCUGUACCAAAAGUUAGUGGCAUUUAGUAUUUUAAGUUCUUACCCUGUUUCCUCAUUUUGUUUCUGAUAGCUUAUUAAAAAAAAAAAUUAUUAGAGUCACAUAAAUAGUUCUUAUUUUGAAUGCAUCCUGAGGUCUAAACCUUUAAAAUUUGUGCCUUGAUCUCCUCCCACAUAGUCUAGCUAAUCUAAAAUUUGAAGAAUAAAGUGGAAUUUUAAUGUAAUUAAAGGUAGUAAGAGACAUUAUAAUGUACUUGCCAAAAGCUGUUUUAUAAAUACAGCCCACUCAUAAUAAAGGAUAUUUCAGUAAUAUUUACAUCUUUUUAUAUAUGCAAUUAACUGUAUAUAUAUAUAGGGUUAUCCUAUGUUUCUGCUGAAAGGAUAACUGUGAACAGUGGCAGAACUACAGAUUCACCUAACAGAAGCUUCUUGUCCAACAAACAAUCAUUGUAUUUCACCUGAAAAACAAUCUCAGACAGUUUCUUAGAAUGGGAUGAAUUCUUUUUCUAAUCCUAUUACCAUCCAUUGACUAUAUGGCAAAUCUAAUUGGGAUUAGACUCCUAAUCUGCCAAACAGCUGAAUUUGUCCAGUCCAUGAUCACUGCACAAUCUGAACACACACCCCUGAUGACAGUUUAAAUCUAUUAAAUGGCACACAGUGCAUUUAAAUUCAAAACAGGAGUAAGACUUCCCCUCCCUUCCCCAGUAAAGGUAAACCAUCUCUGAGAAAAGGGAGUGUUGAGGGAGAUGUGAAAAACUUCUGUCAGCUGAGAUCCCAGACUCAGGACUAUACCUAUUCCUACCUCCAACUUGAAAAUCAGGCAGGAAUAUACACAAGAUACCGGAACCCACUUUAUGAAGAGUGCUAACAAUCAACAACAGAACUCCAGCUAAAAAAAAAA